AUUGAACGCUGGCGGCAUGCUUUACACAUGCAAGUCGGACGGCAGCGGGGUAGUGCUUGCACUACUGCCGGCGAGUGGCGACCGGGUGAGUAAUAUAUUGGAACGUACCGAGUAAUGGGGGAUAACCAAUCGAAAGAUUGGCUAAUACCGUAUACGCUCUGAGGAGGAAAGCAGGGGACCUUCGGGCCUUGCGUUAUUCGAGCGGCCAAUAUCUGAUUAGCUAGUUGGUGGGGUAAGGGCCUACCAAGGCGACGAUCAGUAGCGGGUCUGAGAGGAUGAUCCGCCACACUGGGACUGAGACACGGCCCAGACUCCUACGGGAGGCAGCAGUGGGGAAUUUUGGACAAUGGGCGCAAGCCUGAUCCAGCCAUGCCGCGUGUCUGAAGAAGGCCUUCGGGUUGUAAAGGACUUUCGUUAGAGAAGAAAAAGGAGCGGUUAAUACCCGUUUCUGCUGACGGUACCUAAAGAAUAAGCACCGGCUAACUACGUG
rnacentral:rRNA from 1 species